UAUAAUAUAACCUCAUUCUAAAAAGGGCAAAAAAAAAAAAAAAAAAAAAAAAAACUGCAGAAAUUCUCAAAAAUCGAAAAAGUAAAAAGCUGCAAACUGCCGUUCAAAGUCCUGAAAGAAGGAAGUUUCGACCCUCCAUCCCGCACGGGUCACCGGAGAAGCUAGAAUAAAUUGAUAUUGAGAUCCAUAUCAAUGGCUCUUUCCCGGAUCUGUAAAUAGUGAGCAUCUGUGGCUUCCCAGAUCUUCUGAAACAUGAAGAAGGAUCCAAGUUCAUCGAUGUUGCAUGCUGUGAUGAAGAAUGUCGCCAAACUGAGUUAUGAGCUAAAGGCGACAUAUAAGCUCUGGAUGCUUUUCAGUUGCGUAGUCAUCAGCGACCGUUACAUCUUGAUCAUUGUCUAGACAAUGAGCAAAAAGGUUCCUCAAGAAGUUUUGUGGAGCAACCGUGGAGAAAUAGGAGCUCAAUUGGGGCAAGUUAAGGUUUUGAUGUAUAGUCGUGAUGCAAAAGAUGAAAGACGACCAUUUACAGGAAAGCUUGUGUAAAACAAUCUAAAGCAGAGGAGACCAGCAAGAUAAUGUCGUAAUCAAAUUCUGAACAUCAUUAAAGCUGCCAAAUAGACAUGGACACAACACCAUAUUCGCAAAACACCAUGACAUUCCAAGAUAAGAAGCAACCCUCAUCAAGAAGAACUCUAGUAUAAAAAUCAAUGUUGCCCGUAUGUAGAUAGGACAACGUUCAAGAGGAGGUGAAUCGAACAAAGAAAUGAAAGAGGAAGAUAAAACCAGACUUGCCAAAAUGUCAGCAGCAGAAGUGUUACAAAGAUCAUAUGCUGCAACAGCGACGACCAAUUAAUACAACAGGCUAAGGAGGUGUAAAACUUCGAGAAGAUAAACAAGCAAGGAAACUUGUUGAGCCACCAUACAACCAAAUUGUAUUCAAUCUUCUCUGAUAGACGAGGUAAACAAGACCAAUUCCAGAAUAA